AAAAUUUGGACUCGUUCCGAAGUCUAAUUUUGGAUUUCUUUGGAUUUUUGAUUUUCCACGUCUAAUUUAGCUCAUAAACCAAUACUCAAAACGCUACCGUUUCGUCGUCGAAGGUCGGAUCAAAAAACUGUCUCACGAUUCCUUUGCGUGUGCGUCUGAAGAUGUCGUGUGCAAAGUUUGGUGUCGAUUGGUCAAGAAAUGUGGGAGGAGUAGGGAAAAAACAGUUUUGCGGUUUUCGCGAUUUUGCGAAAAAAAAAUUAUUGACGCAAAUGGGCGUGGCCUAUGCCAAAAGAUGCAGCAGACUCCAGUGAAUAUGUGGGUACAAGUUUUUGACUGUGGGAGGUUCGGUGUGGG
ensembl:lncRNA